rnacentral:lncRNA from 1 species
GCCUGACAAUAGAAGAGAAUAUUUGGGAAAUGAUGUGUCCUGGAAUCUUACAUGUGGAGUCAUCAUGACCUGUUGUGAGUGGCUCAAGAGCUGGGAUGGGUCUCAUUUAUCCUGCUUCCUUAGUGCCCUACAUUAUACAUGCUGAUUCCAGGUGUUCAAUAAAUGUGCACACCUUGAGUGAACAUCUGACUCACAAUCUUCUACUUUGUAUGAGCAAGAUGGGUUUGGUUCUUCCAGAGGUGGUCCUGAUAGGAGACAUCUCAUGGUGAUGGAAAGGAAAAACAGCUGCACUGGGUUGGAUGCACAGAAGAUAAAGUACCAUUGUGACAUUGAUCCUAGCCUAAUUUGAGACACUCUGUUACUCAACAUUAGACAAUAUGUCCAGAGCAGUUGCAAUUACAUGCCAGAUGUUUUUAGGCCACACAUGGAGUCUGAGAGUUGUCCCAAAUGGCAGAAUGUCUCAACACAUCAUUUGAAGGUCAUGAGUAGAAAGGGUCAACUCUACCCUGAACUUGUUCAUAGUCUCAGGCCAUUUGAUUUUUCUAGCACUGGUGACAUUGUAUGCUCUUGCUUUAUACCUUCUUAAACUUCAGGAUCUGAAUACUGCUCUGUGGUCUCAGCAUAAAUAUCAUUCUCCUCAUUUACUUCCAUUAUUCUUUAUCUUUUUGUAGGCAUAGGACAUAUAUGUAUUAUAGAUCAUAUGAGGCAUUGGACUCCUGCUCCAGGUCAGGUUCAAUGAGUUAAUGAUGGAAUUAAAAAUAUAUAUACCUGUUCUUUGACUUCUGAUGGUUUUGCCUGACUUCUUUCUAAUAUAGUUUUUAAUCUAUGAAAUGUAUAAAUAAGCAAAAUUAUAAAAGGGGGUGGGUGCUUUUAUCAUCAGGGAAGCUCUUUGUUUUCCAUGUCAACUUAGAAACCCCAUUUAUUCCUUUGCAGGGAGUGUAUGGAAUUAUUUCAGAGCUCAUUAAUAUAGUAGAGUUGAUUUUGACAGUUCCUCUAAGUGACUUCUGUUCAUUCUCCUCAACCCCAACAGCCCUGGCUGAGAGAGAACUUUGGCAUCCAAAGGGGCUUCUUCCAGGACUCCUGAGAAAAUGGUGGUUUGGGCUGACUGCCAGCAAAUCGAAGCCUGCCCAAGUUUAUCUAAUUUGUUGAUUUUGAACUUUCAAGAGAAAUGAGAACACCUUGAAAGGAGAAUCACUGCUCGUAACUUUUAGUCAUUCUAAUGGCCUUUAUCUACUCACUGAAACUCAAUUAUGCAUACAAAGAGGUACAGUGUAUUGUGCUAGUUUUUCAUGGAAUUUAUGUUUAGAUUAUUGUACAAAAUUAGCCCCCUCUCCCUCUAAAAUUGGAUUUUUAUUAUUUUUUUUAAAGAUUCUAUUAUUUAUUUGAGAGAGAGAGAUAGCGAGAGAGAGUAGAAUAGGUGGGAGGGUCAGAGAGAGAAGCAGGCUCCUUGCUGAGCAGGGAGCCCCAUACAGGGCUCAAUCCCAGGACCCCGAGAUCAUGACCUGAGCUGGAAGUAGGUGAUUAACCUAAGGGCUACCCAGGCACCCCAAAACUGGAUUUUUAUAGUUCUGAUCCAUCAUUGAAUUUUCUGGAUUCCUUUUAGAUCUGUACUUUGGGUGGGGUGUUGGUUUGUCUUCUGUUUUGGAGGAGAGAAUAUUGUUUCUGGUAGGAUCAAUGGCAUCUAGAACAAGAACUUUCUGAGUAACUUUCUAUUACCUUUACACUUUGAUGUUGAGGAGAGGACAGGUGAUUUUCCCAGGGAUACUCAUCAGUAGGGAGCGUAAGAGGAGUGCAUGCCAGUUGGUAGCCUAUUUACAACAAUGAAUGUCCUAGUUGACCGUCCCUUUCUACUAAAUACCUGCUUGAAGAAUCCUCUUUGCUAUUCAUGGAACUACAGAGGUCUUCGGGCAUCUCAUUGUAAAUGACCUCUUCUGGAUCCUCAGUCACAGUUUCCUAGAGAAUUAGUGGUGACCUCAACUCACACUAAAACAUUUAGUCAUUACUUCUAACAUCAUACUAAAAUGCUACACAUUUUGGGGAAGGUUCUUUUUAGCAUUUUUAGUUUCCUAUGGUCAUUUCCUUAAGUCAGUGGUUCCUAAUCUAUUUAGAAUUACAAACAUUUGUAACUAAAUGAAAGCAAACGACACUG